UAAGACAAACUUGAAUAUAAUCAAAUCAUAAUAGUCAUAUCAAAUAUUUCAAUUUAAAUAUUUGAUUUGAGUUUCGAAUUCAAGAUGGUGAUAAGUUCUUAAGGGGACAUUUUUUGAAAAUUUAUAGACAAGUGAUUUUCGUCUUAUUUUUUGUUGUAGAGGACACCACCGACCGCUGGGAAAUUUUUUUGGAACACGCAGACGCUAUCAUUAUCGACAGCAGUUGAUAGAUUUUGUCAAAAUAACACAGUUUUGUGAUAUACCUUUCUUUUUUGAGAACAUUCUUAGCAAGUUACGGGGCGAUGAAAUUUUUUUUAGGUUUUUACUACUUUCCAUCUACACCGUAGAUUGCACUGAUUUGAUAUUUGGUAUAUGACAUUAUUAUCUCCAGGGGAGUCCGAGAUGGAUGUCUGGCUACCCCUUUUUUAUUCACAACUUCUACGCCACUGGAACUGUUAAAAAAACAGAUUUUUCUGAUAUCUCCUUUAAUUGUAAAGACAAAAUGUCUUUUGAAUUUUUUGAAUAGGCACCAGUAUUGAGAAAAAUGGUAGUAUAACAAUAAUAUCAGACUAUUAAUUCUGAGUUUCCAGGAUAAGCGGUAUUAAAGAUGAGUCGUAUAAUGUAUGUGAACACAUUGUAGUUAGUAAUGGUAAAGGAAAAUAGUAGAAACCUAGAAAGCAUUUUUUCAUCAUCCCGUAACUCUGUAGCGAAAUCUGUGAUAAAGAACAGGUAUGUAUAUCACAGAAAUUUAUUAUUUUGACGAGAUCCAUCGGUAGUUUUCAUCUGCAGCAUCAUCGACCUGUAUAUUGUAAAUUGGUACAAUAUUAUCCUCAUAAUAUGUUUUAGGCUUCCCGAAGAUGUACACCAAACGGCGAAGGUAUCUAAAUUACUACUCGCCAUUAAUUCUGGUAAAGGACACUUGUACCAUGGCAAAACUUUAGAAGAAAUCGAAGUAUCAGAUAAUUUUGAUUCAGAUUCAGACACUGCCGGUAGUUCAUCUUUAAAUAAUGAACUAAUUCAACGUCAAGGUACAAUAACAAAACAAAAAAAUAAAAAGAUUAGAACAAAGUCACCUACACCAGGCAAGAGCCAAGUACAUGAAAAUUCCGUCAGUCGUUCAGGUGACAAUGAGCAUAGCACAGACAAAAAUAUAAGAAAGUGGAAUGUUGAACAGAAACAAACCAUUACGACUCACUUUAAGGAUUUUAUUAAAAAGAAAAAAGCUCCCAGGAAAAAAGAUGUCGAAGAUUUUGUAACGAUAUCCGAAUAUGUUCGAUGGUAUUA